rnacentral:lncRNA from 1 species
UUAAUGAUAGGACAUAUCUAAUUUGUGGAGAAAAUAAAACUUCAUACCUUAUUGAACUUUGAUCACAAAUUCGAUUUGUGUGGUUGACCAAAUGUGACGUCUUGCUUAUAAGAGUGUUAGUCAAUCAUAUAGGAGAAAUAACAUGUAAUUUAUGCUCAUUGAUAAAAUAUUGGAUUGAAGCCAAUUUUGAUAUACAUUAUAAGGCAAGUAUGAUAUGAUAAUUUAAAUUGCCUUGUGUUAAGAUCAUGCAAUGAAUAAU